AUUGAACGCUGGCGGCAUGCUUUACACAUGCAAGUCGAACGAGUGGCGGACGGGUGAGUAAUGUAUGGGAACGUGCCCAAUAGCGGGGGAUAACUACUCGAAAGGGUAGCUAAUACCGCAUACUAUUGGAUCUGCCGAUAUUGGAUUAGCUAGUUGGUGGGGUAAAGGCUCACCAAGGCGACGAUCCGUAGCUGGUUUGAGAGGAUGACCAGCCACACUGGGACUGAGACACGGCCCAGACUCCUACGGGAGGCAGCAGUGGGGAAUUUUGGACAAUGGGGGAAAGCCUGAUGCAGCCAUGCCGCGUGUAUGAGAAGGCCUUCGGGUUGUAAAGUACUUUUAGCAGAGAAGCGGUAUCUGCAGAAUAAGCACCGGCUAACUACGUGCCAGCAGCCGCGGUAAUAC
rnacentral:rRNA from 1 species